ACCAGGAUGGCCGAGUGGUUAAGGCGUUGGACUUAAGAUCCAAUGGACUGAUGUCCACGUGGGUUCAAACCCCACUCCUGGUA